UGAAAGUACCCUUCUUAACUGAAAGCCCACGAGCCAUUAAACUAUUACAUAAAGUAAAAACAAGUACUGCGAAUGAGUCCAGCCCGCAGCUGCAUCCUGGUCCUUAGCCCACGCUCUCCUGCUGUCUGAAGCCCGAAUCCAUCUUUAUUUAGUUAAGGACCAUCUGAGCCCAUUUCCUUACUUAUCUCUCGAAGCUCCAUGACUACGCUCUACCAUCCCUUCUAUUUCUUCCUAGAUGACAAAGAGGUUUCUUCUCCCACCAUCUCCAUUUGAGCCCCCUUUGAGAGAUAAAAACACGACUACUGGCACGAGAGUUUCGACAGCUCUCUUUCUUGAGACAAAGUGCAAUCCACAAGUGCCUUCACAACUUCAGUGAAGUUACCCAAUAUAGUUUCCUUAACCACCUUCCUACCUCUUUCUGUAACGCGCACUGAACGACCUCCUAACACUAGUAGUUCCAUAUUUUGGACCCUAAUGGAACUGAUUUUGAUAUCCCGUCCUUGAUGAUAAAUACAAUUCAGAAAAAUAGAAAAACGUAGUGAUAUUACUGUGGAGAAGUGCCAG